AAGAGUUUGAAACUGGAGCGGCUGAGCGUUACCUCUAGCCGACAGCUCUGUAUGGGAGCCAAGAGCAGAGGGGCCACUGCAGCUGGCAGUACAUAAAUAAAGUAUGCCUGUAUUUCUUACUAUCUUCAACGUAGAGCCUUUAAGACCACAAAAUAAAAUUUGAAUAUUUUUCUAGAAAACUGUUGCUGACCUUUAAAUUUAAGUUAUGAUACUUAAAUAAUCAAUUCCUACAUAUUUAUAGGUUCUCAGUCAUCCAGGACAUGGAUCACUGGACUGGGGUCUUGCUGCAUGGCGUUUGUUCUCCUUGUCCAUGUGUUGCCUUGAAAUGGACUGGGGCAUACACCACCUCUCAUCCAGUAGCCGUUGGACAGGCACCUGCGACCCUGCAAGGAUACAACAGACUACUUACGAGAACCUAAUAGUUAUCCAUGCAAUCUCUUCUCACACAUUACAUGAAGCAGAUGCCUUUAUUGAACCAUCAGUGUAAUAAUAUACCAAACAGCUAUUUAUAAUGGUAAGCAACAAAAAAAGAUGGGAUUUAUUGGCAAAUUAUAGGGGUUUUCUUUUCAUCUUACAUCUCAGGGAAAGAUAGCUUGCAUCUCUCUCAGUGCUCAGUCUCAAACCAGAAACUAACCGGUGCUUAAUUUCCUAUUCAUAACUUUAAUAGAGGCUCUUGUAACCUUGUGCAUAUUAUUGUCAAAGAUGUGGCCAAUUCCCUGGUUUAAGUAAGAGAUGCACUUAACAGAUUGUCCACUUUAUGUUUCUGAUUAUAAUUCAUUGCAGUGAGAUUUUUCUUCUACUGCAGCCUGUAGAGAUUUAUAAACACCAAUAUAUUUUAUCAGACUGUUAAACUGCACUGAAUGUGGUGAUUGAAUUGGGCAGCAUUUACUGAUCCAGUAAUUAGCUAUUCUUCUGAGAUAGUACUCCAUAAAUGCUUUGAAAAUAAUUUGGUUUUAUUAAAACUGAGCAAAACUCAA